GAACCAGCCAAGCUUGGUGAUCCUGGAGGAGACAAACACGGAGAGAAUUACUCACAUGGAGGAGAGACGGAUGAGGAGGAGGAGAGAGGACAGCGAAGAGACGUUUACCUGGAGUACAGCUGGAUCAGAGCCUGGGUUCAAAUCAACCCAAGAUGAACACUGAAGAUGGAACUCAACCUGUUCUCAACCACUACUUUGCCCCAUUCUUCCAAGAGCUCACAGAGUUUGAAUGAAGACCCCUGGAGAGGGGUGAGAAGAGCUGACAAAUCCAAACUGAGGAUGAUUGUUCCGGAGCCCCAUGAGGAACACCUGACACGUCGCUGACUUCUCGCUUCUGUCCAAAUGGUCCCGUUGUGGGUUUCACUGCCUCUGCCCCUUACCCCAAAUAGAGUUGCCUCUGAUAGAUCUAGGAUUGUACCCAAUCCCAAUUGUAACUCUGUCUCUCCCCCCACAGCACACCCCAAAUAUAUUUUUUAAAUGAGUGUGGUAAUGAUGCUCCUAUUUGGUUAAAUGUGUUAACUGUUGUUACUUCUUUUGCCAAUUCCGUUAAUUUGCUGUUACCAAUUUGAAUAAAUGCAUGUACAAAUGUA